rnacentral:rRNA from 1 species
UACGUAGGGGGCAAGCGUUGUCCGGAAUUAUUGGGCGUAAAGAGCGUGUAGGCGGUCCGGUAAGUCAGCUGUGAAAGUCAAGGGCUCAACCCUUGAAAGCCGGUUGAUACUGUCGGGCUAGAGUCCGGAAGAGGCGAGUGGAAUUCCCGGUGUAGCGGUGAAAUGCGCAGAUAUCGGGAGGAACACCAUGGCGAAGGCAGCUCGCUGGGACGGUACUGACGCUGAGACGCGAAAGCGUGGGGAGCAAACAGG